CAGCAUUGAAUGGUUGGCAAACAAUGGAAAUUUCAUUUUCAUUUUUGGAUCAGUCUGCUUGAUGAAUUUAAACCUAGUGAUUAUGUUUGCUCAUCUGCUUCUCCAAGUUAGCUUUAGUGUGAAGACCUGAACUCGUGGAAUCAUGAUAUGCCACAGAGAGGAUCCAGAGAGCCCAUCUUCAGUCAGUUAUCUGUAUUUGCAUGUCAACUACAGCAUCAAGAAGCAUAGGCAUGGAUACUAAGGACCCCCUCUGUACACCAAAGCCAGUCCAAAGGACAGUGUGUCACUGUGAACUGUAAAUUCAUCUCUCUUCUUCAUCUUUUUUCUACCUACUUUAUGCUUUAUCUCUAAGUUGAGGCUGUUUAUGGCCUCAUCCUCAAUUACCUUGUCCCUCGUUACUCCCAGUUAAUGGAGAUUAAGCUUUGUAUCAUGACUUCCUAACUAAAACUGAAAUCACAAGACAUCACAUAAAUAAAGUG
rnacentral:lncRNA from 1 species